rnacentral:rRNA from 1 species
UGGGGAAUUUUGGACAAUGGGCGCAAGCCUGAUCCAGCCAUGCCGCGUGCAGGAAGAAGGCCUUCGGGUUGUAAACUGCUUUUGUCAGGGAAGAAAUCCUUUGGGUUAAUACCUCGAAGGGAUGACGGUACCUGAAGAAUAAGCACCGGCUAACUACGUGCCAGCAGCCGCGGUAAUACGUAGGGUGCGAGCGUUAAUCGGAAUUACUGGGCGUAAAGCGUGCGCAGGCGGCUUUGCAAGACAGAUGUGAAAUCCCCGGGCUCAACCUGGGAACUGCAUUUGUGACUGCAAGGCUAGAGUGCGGCAGAGGGAGAUGGAAUUCCGCGUGUAGCAGUGAAAUGCGUAGAUAUGCGGAGGAACACCGAUGGCGAAGGCAAUCUCCUGGGCCUGCACUGACGCUCAUGCACGAAAGCGUGGGGAGCAAACAGGAUUAGAUACCCUGGUAGUCCACGCCCUAAANGAUGUCAACUGGUUGUUGGACGGCUUGCUGUUCAGUAACGAAGCUAACGCGUGAAGUUGACCGCCUGGGGAGUACGGCCGCAAGGUUGAAACUCAAAUGAAUUGAC